rnacentral:rRNA from 1 species
AACGUAGGACACAAGCGUUAUCCGGAGUUACUGGGCGUAAAGGGCGUGUAGGCGGAUCGGUAAGUCUACUCUGAAAGCUCCUGGCUAAACUGGGAGAGGCGAGUGGAGACUGUCGGUCUAGAGUGAGGAAGAGGAAAGUGGAAUUCCGCGUGUAGUGGUGAAAUGCGUAGAGAUCGUAAGGAAGACCAGUGGCGGAAGGCGGGUCUCUGGACAGUUCCUGACA